AGCUUCUCUUUACUCCAUUUGUUUAUAUUUGAUAUAUUUGCUUAGUUAAGAAGCUUGUACUUGCUUUAAAUUCUUAGUCUAAUAUUUUGUAACUUGAUUCAAUCAAGGAAUUGAAUUAAGAGGUUAAGGUUUGUUGGUGAGCCAAAGGAAAACCAACGGUGUUAAGGUUUGUUGGUGAGCCAAAGGGAAAACCAACGUUGUAAGGUUGUGGUUGGUGAGCCUUUGGGGAAAACCAACUGGGUUGGAUUGUGAGCCCGUGAAAACAAUCGGUAGGUUCUAGUCGGUGAGCCUGUGAAAACCGACCGAGUUCGUUGUGAUCUCGCAAAACAACAAGUUGGGUUGUGAGCUUGUAAAACAACCGGCUGUAAUCUGAGGGAUUAUAGUGAAAUUCCCAAGAGGUCUUGGGGAGUGGAUGUAGGUGCUGGGAUGCACCGAACCUCUAUAUUUUUGUCGUGUUUGUGAUGCUCUUUGUUGUCUGACUUCCUCACUCACUUACUUACUUAGAUACUAAGCUUGCUUAACUCUUCUUCGUGCAUCCUUUAGUUGCAAGCAUAUUCAAUUUACUUAAUCAAGUCUCAUUCAAUUGAAUUGCAUACUUGGGCAAACUUAGACUAAUCCUUUAUUGAAUCCGCUGCUUAAUAGUUGAUUAGAUUAGAAUCAUACUCUUGCUAAGUUUAAAUUUCACUAAGCAUCCAUACAACUUAGCUUAAUUAACUCUAAAAGAUUAGAAGUAGUUUAAAAGUCUUUAAAAGACCCAAUUCACCCCCCCUCUUGGGUUGUCACGUUGGGCAACAAGUGGUAUCAGAGCAGGUGCUCAAAUAUUAUUUGUAGUCUUAACCGACUAGAGCCAAAGAUCAUGACAACCCCACAUAACGUAUUACUUGCUGAUUAUUGAUCUCACGAUCAAGAGCCAAAGAUCAUGACAACUCAAAUAGAUAGUUUUCUAGAAGAGGGACAAUUAAUUGAUAGACCUCCACUAUUUAAUGGCAUAAACUACAUACAUUGGAAAGCACGCAUGCGCAUUUUUAUUCAAUCACAAAACUAUGAUUUAUGGAAAAUCACAAUAAAUGAUCUUCACACACACUCUCAAGCUGUCAAUGAAAAAGACUUAGCACAAUUGAAUGCUAAUGCUAUGAACAUUCUAUAUUGU
rnacentral:lncRNA from 1 species